GAGUUUGAUUCUGGCUCAGGAUGAACGCUAGCGGCAGGCCUAACACAUGCAAGUCGAGGGGUAGAGCUACUUUAGUAGUUUGAGACCGGCGCACGGGUGCGUAACGCGUAUGCAAUCUACCUUAUACAGAGGGAUAGCCCAGAGAAAUUUGGAUUAAUACCUCAUAGUAUAUUUGAGUGGCAUCAUUUAGAUAUUAAAGAUUUAUCGGUAUAAGAUGAGCAUGCGUCCCAUUAGUUAGUUGGUGUGGUAACGGCAUACCAAGACGAUGAUGGGUAGGGGUCCUGAGAGGGAGAUCCCCCACACUGGUACUGAGACACGGACCAGACUCCUACGGGAGGCAGCAGUGAGGAAUAUUGGUCAAUGGAGGCAACUCUGAACCAGCCAUGCCGCGUGCAGGAAGAAUGUCCUAUGGAUUGUAAACUGCUUUUGUACGGGAAGAAAAACGUGCCUAUGUAUAGCAAANCUGACGUACCNAGAUAAGU
rnacentral:rRNA from 1 species